GGGCAUUCGCGCAAUUCCCUUAAGUUGAUCAUGGCUCAGAAUGAACGCUGGCGGCGUGCCUUACACAUGCAAGUCGAGCGAGGCCGGGGGGCAACCCCCGAGUCGAGCGGCGGACGGGUGAGUAACACGUGGAUAACCUGCCCUAAGGUGGGGGAUAACCCGGGGAAACUCGGGCUAAUACCGCAUGAUACCGAGAGGUCAAAGGGGGCUCGCAAGGGCUCUCGCCAUAGGAGGGGUCCGCGUCCGAUUAGCUAGUUGGUAGGGUAAUGGCCUACCAAGGCGACGAUCGGUAGCCGGCCUGAGAGGGUGAUCGGCCACACUAGAACUGAGACACGGUCCAGACUCCUACGGGAGGCAGCAGUGGGGAAUUUUGCGCAAUGGGCUAACGCCUGACGCAGCAACGCCGCGUGGAGGAUGAAGGUCCUUGGAUUGUAAACUCCUGUCAGCAGGGAAAAAGCGACUACACCUAAUACGUGUAGGAGUUGAUUGUACCUGCAGAGGAAGCCCCGGCUAACUCUGUGCCAGCAGCCGCGGUAAUACAGAGGGGGCAAGCGUUAUUCGGAAUUAUUGGGCGUAAAGGGCGCGUAGGCGGCUUGGCAAGUGAAAGGUGAAAUCCCUCGGCUCAACUGAGGAACUGCCUUUCAGACUGCUUUGCUUGAGGCCGGGAGAGGCGAGUGGAAUUCCCAGUGUAGCGGUGAAAUGCGUAGAUAUUGGGAGGAACACCAGUGGCGAAAGCGGCUCGCUGGACCGGUUCUG
rnacentral:rRNA from 1 species